AUGUAAUCGGAGAAAUUCCCUGUUUUAGUGAGGUCCAAACGCACAAACAAGGUGAAAUUUCUAGAAAGGUUAUGAAUAUCGAACUUAAAGAUGUUGAGACGAAGAGCCACUACAUUCUGGGAAAAAUUAUUGAUCAAAUUGUGCCUCAUCUGACAAGCUUUAACAACCAGCCUAUCGUUGUUAUUAUGCAGCUUAUAGAAGCACAUAAAUUUCAAGAUUUAUAUUCGGUGCGCAAUACUUGGAAUGUAUCAAAGUUUUAAAUUAAUCCAACUUUUUCUCAAUGUGACGAAUUACUUUAUGUUCGGGAUAGUUUCUCUGAGAGGCUGACUCAAACCAUCUCUCAGCAAAGUUUUUGUCUCUGAUGAGUUAGCUAAGGGCAUUGUUCAAGUUAAAACAAUUGGUGAAUUAGUGGAGUUCAUGCAAGUAAGUGAACUAUUUUGUGUUAUGUUACUCCAAUCAUUCUUUAAAGUUAAUAGUUGUUCUAUGUGCAUCUGUUACAAUGAAUAACACAUAUGUUUAAGUUGUGUGAUAAAAUCAAACUAAUUGAACUUAGUUUGUCAGAUUGAUACAUAUGUUGUAGAGUCCUAAGUAUCAUGACUAUUUUUGUUGUACCAAAAAACUGUUUAACAAUAAGUCCCUCUAUGUUAUGUAUUCUUAUUAGCCAACAAUAUAUAAUGUGAUUAGAAGGUACCAGCCAAACAAGUUGGACCAUCUCUUUUGCCUUCACCCUUGUCCUAAAUUUCUCCAAGAAUAAGCUUAUUAGGCAGCGUGCGAGCAUACAUGCUAAAAGUGUUCUCAAAAUGGAAAUGUAGUACCUUUUGGAGGCAAUUAGAGAAGGAAAAUCAUCGACUUUACUUUUAGAGAUCUUGAAAAUAGUAUCUAACUUAAGAGGGAAUAAUAA